rnacentral:rRNA from 1 species
GGGAUGAGCUGUGGAUAGGGGUGAAAGGCCAAUCAAACUUCGUGAUAGCUGGUUCUCUCCGAAAUGCAUUUAGGUGCAGCGUCGUAUUAUAGCUUGGUGGAGGUAGAGCGACUGGUUGGUUGAGCGGGACUACAAUCUUAGCAAUGUCAGCCAAACUCCGAAUGCCACUAAUUGUGUUGUACGGCAGUGAGACUGUGGGGGAUAAGCUUCAUAGUCGAGAGGGAAACAGCCCAGAUCGCCGGCUAAGGUCCCCAAGUCGUGGCUAAGUGGGAAAGGAUGUGGGACUCCCAAAACAACCAGGAGGUUGGCUUAGAAGCAGCCAUCCUUGAAAGAGUGCGUAAUAGCUCACUGGUCAAGUGAUUCCGCGCCGAUAAUGUAGCGGGGCUUAAGUUAUCCGCCGAAGCUGUGGCAACCUGUGUGGUUGGGUAGGGGAGCGUCGUGUCAGUGGUGAAGCUGCCGGGUGACUGUGUGGUGGAGUUGAUGCGAGUGAGAAUGCAGGCAUGAGUAGCGAAAGACGGGUGAGAAACCCGUCCGCCGGAUGACUAAGGGUUCCAGGGUCAAGCUAAUCUGCCCUGGGUAAGUCGGGACCUAAGGCGAGGCCGAAAGGCGUAGUCGAUGGACAACA